rnacentral:rRNA from 1 species
ACUCAAAUGAAUUGACGGGGGCCCGCACAAGCAGCGGAGCGUGUGGUUUAAUUCGAGGCUACACGAAGAACCUUACCUGGGCUUGAAACGCAGUCGAACGAGGCGGAAACGCCGAGGGCCGCAAGGCGGCUGCACCGGUGCUGCAUGGCUGUCGUCAGCUCGUGCCGUGAGGUGUUAGGUUAAGUCCUGUAACGAGCGCAACCCCUGGGUCCAGUUACACGCAGUCUGGACCGACUGCCCGCGACAAGCGGGAGGAAGGUGGGGAUGAUGUCAAGUCAGCAUGGCCUUGAUGUCCAGGGCUACACACACGCUACAAUGGCCGGUACAAUGGGUCGCCAAGCCGCAAGGCGGAGCCAAUCCUACCAAAGCCGGUCACAGUUCGGAUUGUGGGCUGCAACCCGCCCACAUGAAGUCGGAGUUGCUAGUAACCGCGCGUCAGCCAUAGUGCGGUGAAUACGUUCCCGGGCCUUGUACACACCGCCCGU